CACGUAGGGGGCAAGCGUUGUCCGGAUUUAUUGGGCGUAAAGAGCUCGUAGGCGGUUCGGUAAGUCGGGUGUGAAACCUCCAGGCUCAACCUGGAGAGGCCACCUGAUACUGCUGUGACUCGAGUCCGGUAGGGGAGCGUGGAAUUCCUGGUGUAGCGGUGAAAUGCGCAGAUAUCGGGAAGAACACCCGUGGCGAAGGCGGCUUUCUGGGACGGUACUGGACGCUGAGACGCGAAAGC
rnacentral:rRNA from 1 species